AGUCAAGGAGAGGAGACUGCAUAGGGUGUGACUAUCAGGAACCAUGGCUCACUGGAGCACCAUCUUUGGAGUCUAGCUAACACAGCAUCUUGGAUGCACUCCUAAGAGAAGACUACCUGAAAGGCGUGUACACUGGUCUAGCAGUUGAGAUCAGCUAGUGUUCCAUCUAUCUUCUGUCAUGUAUCUCUUCUAAGAUGUCUUGAUCGACUGACCCCAAAGCCAGAGGGUACCAGGUCAAAAAGCAAGAUGGUUGAAUGAAAAACUCCAAUAACCACAGAAGACUGAUUUAAUAAUGGAAUACUAUCAGUAAAGCUCAUUUAGAAUCUGUAAUUAGAUUUCAUCCUUGAUUAUAUGUGCAAAUACCUCCUAAGAAAAUAACCGUUUAAUAGCUUAAUUUUGGUUUAGAAGCCAUUUCCAGACUUUGAAUCUAAUGUUCUAAAUGGUUUCUAAAUUUUUGUGUAGUAUGAUAUUCUAUGAAAACAAUAUGCAUUAUUAAGUUAAAACUUAUUAUUUCUUACAUUAUUUCUAAGAAAACAAACAAUACUGACAUUAGAGAGAAGCAAAGUUUCUAUAGAAAACCUAUUACACUGUGGUAUAAAUCAAGAUGAACCUGCAGACAUCUAUUUUAGUUUGGAAGUCUGGAAAAGUUCAAGAUUGGCCAUCUGCAGCUGGUGAGAGCCUCAGGCUGCUUCCCCUCAUGGUGGAAGGUGAAGGGGAGCUGGUGUGUGCAGAGAUUACAUGCUUUUCUAGGUCAUCAUUCUAGGCUUUGUUGAAGCAUGCAUUUUUGGCAUGAGGGUGGCAGCCUUUGCACUAUGUGCAUGGCUGAGGAGUUAGGAUCUGGAGGGUGAUGAAAGCAAAGGUGCUGCUGGUUACUCUUGGUUCAUCUAGCAAUAGAUGAUCUGAAUGUUAGAGUUCGCCAAAUAUUGUUCCUGGGCAGUCUUUGCUCUACCAAAUCAACUUUCUCCAUGGGGGAGCUAGAAGUCACCCCACAUUCUCCGCCAUGGCCAGCUCUACAUUCUAAGAGAACCAAUGGCUCUACCCAACAUAUUCUUCUCACCACAGAUGACAAAGACACAAGGAGCCAAGACAGAUCAUUCAAGCAUAUUCAUUGCCUCUAUCUUCAUCCCAUUAAAUAACAUCCCGCCAACCAAAGCAAGUUAUCUGCAUAAGAAUAAAUAUUCCACCUACUCUACUGCAAGGCCCUGCAAGAGUCAUGAGACAAAAGGAUCCUCUGUGGACAGCACCCAAGAUGGAAACAACUGACAGUCUAUGGCCAGGGCUAUACUCUGGUGAAACUGAAAGGUGUCUGCAUGGAAGUGUCUGACUACCACCAUCCACUCAGGCAAAUGCAUUUGUUUCCCUCUAUUCAUUAUUAGAAGAGAGGAGAUUACAUACCAGACAUAUACCAAUAGAGAUGGGGUUUCAUCAUGUUGACCAGGCUGGUCUUGCCCUCCCGACCACAGGUGAUCUGCCCGCCUGAGCCUCCCAAAGUGCUGGGAUUACAGGCAUGAGCCACCACGCCUGUCCAAAACUUCUUGACUUAAUAAAGAAAGAAAGAAAGAAAAAAAAAAAAAAUCCUGUGCAGAGGUUGCUAAGAACCUUGGUAAGAAUCUUCUAUCUAUAAAAUUGUGAAGAAGAAUAAAAAAAUUUUUG
ensembl:lncRNA LINC02465 long intergenic non-protein coding RNA 2465